rnacentral:rRNA from 1 species
CCUACGGGAGACUGCAGUCGAGAAUCAUUCACAAUGGGGGAAACCCUGAUGGUGCGACGCCGCGUGGGGGAAUGAAGGUCUUCGGAUUGUAAACCCCUGUCAUGUGGGAGCAAAUUAAAAAGAUAGUACCACAAGAGGAAGAGACGGCUAACUCUGUGCCAGCAGCCGCGGUAAUACAGAGGUCUCAAGCGUUGUUCGGAAUCACUGGGCGUAAAGCGUGCGUAGGCUGUUUCGUAAGUCGUGUGUGAAAGGCGCGGGCUCAACCCGCGGACGGCACAUGAUACUGCGAGACUAGAGUAAGGGAGGGGGAACCGGAAUUCUCGGUGUAGCAGUGAAAUGCGUAGAUAUCGAGAGGAACACUCGUGGCGAAGGCGGGUUCCUGGACAUUAACUGACGCUGAGGCACGAAGGCCAGGGGAGCGAAAGGGAUUAGAUACCCGGGUAGUC